rnacentral:rRNA from 1 species
AUUGAACGCUGGCGGCAGGCCUAACACAUGCAAGUCGAACGAGUGGCGGACGGGUGAGUAAUGUCUGGGAAACUGCCUGAUGGAGGGGGAUAAAUACUGGAAACGGUAGCAAAUACUGCAUACCAUAGGAUGUGCCCAGAUGGGAUUAGCUAGUAGGUGGGGUAAAGGCUAACCUAGGCGACGAUCCCUAGCUGGUCUGUGAGGAUGACCGGCCACACUGGAACUGAGACACGGUCCAGACUCCUACGGGAGGCAGCAGUGGGGAAUAUUGCACAAUGGGCGCAAGCCUGAUGCAGCCAUGCCGCGUGUAUGAAGAAGGCCUUCGGGUUGUAAAGUACUUUCAGCGGGGAGGCGUUACCCGCAGAAGAAGCACCGGCUAACUCCGUGCCAGCAGCCGCGGUAAUUC